rnacentral:rRNA from 1 species
AUUGAACGCUGGCGGCAGGCCUAACACAUGCAAGUCGAGCGAGCGGCGGACGGGUGAGUAAUGUCUGGGAAACUGCCUGAUGGAGGGGGAUAACUACUGGAAACGGUAGCUAAUACCGCAUACCAUCAGAUGUGCCCAGAUGGGAUGAGCUAGUAGGUGGGGUACAGGGUCACCUAGGCGACGAUCCCUAGCUGGUCUGAGAGGAUGACCCGCAACACUGGACCUGAGACACGGUCCAGACUCCUGCGGGAGGCAUCAGUGGGGAAUAUUGCACAAUGGGCGCAAGCCUGAUGCAGCCAUGCCGCGUGUGUGCAGAAGGCCUUCGGGUUGUAAAGCACUUUCAGCGGGGAGGCGUUACCCGCAGAAGAAGCACCGGCUAACUCCGUGCCAGCAUCCGCGGUAAUAC